AUUGAACGCUGGCGGCAUGCCUUACACAUGCAAGUCGAACGGUAACGCGGGGCAACCUGGCGACGAGUGGCGAACGGGUGAGUAAAGCAUCGGAACGUGCCCAGUAGUGGGGGAUAGCCCGGCGAAAGCCGGAUUAAUACCGCAUACGACCUACGGGUGAAAGGGGGGGAUCGCAAGACCUCUCGCUAUUGGAGCGGCCGAUGUCAGAUUAGGUAGUUGGUGGGGUAAAGGCCUACCAAGCCGACGAUCUGUAGCUGGUCUGAGAGGACGACCAGCCACACUGGGACUGAGACACGGCCCAGACUCCUACGGGAGGCAGCAGUGGGGAAUUUUGGACAAUGGGCGCAAGCCUGAUCCCGCCAUGCCGCGUGCGGGAAGAAGGCCUUCGGGUUGUAACGCUUUG
rnacentral:rRNA from 1 species